GCAAGUCAAACCCUGUAGCAUCCCGUUGUCCGUCAUCCUGGUGCUCCUGUUCAGUGUUUGUUGUUUGGGGAGUUCUGUGGUGUUCCUCUGCCUGUCUGCUGGAGCUCAUGUAGUUGUCUUCCUGUGUCUGUGUUUGUCUCCUGUGUCCCGUCAGUGGUUUUACCCUAUGGUAGGUUACGUCAUGCUGUUCUACCACAGGGUAGAACCACGGACGGGAUGUCUGGAGGUGUCUGCGUCGCCCUGUGGUGCCAAAAUAAACACCCUCACCCUCAAUCAUCUUUGCCCCUUUACCUUCUGUCCCGUCGGGCUCCGAGAUCUUGGGUUCUGCUGCUGGACCGGUUUUGAUUUUCGACGUGUCUGUGUUUGUGUUUUUGUUCAGUCUGUCUGCAUCUUCAUCAUUGUGUAUGGCACUUUUGUGGAUUUCUUUACAGAUCUUAGAGUUACGGCCCCGAUAUACUCCACAUUAAAUCACAAUUUUCAUUGGCGUUGAGCAGAAAGUGCAAAAUCACCCCCUGUCAGUAGAUGGCGCUUAAUGAAUUUGCAAGUCAAGAAAGAAAAGUGUCUAAAGCCUGGUUUAUACUUCUGUGCCAAGUCAUCGGCGUGACCCACGGCGCACAUAGCUGUGCAUUUAUACUUCUGCGCACUGUUUCUGUUUUUCUGCAAUAACACUUUCGAAACGCUAGUUGGCAGUGAGGUGUUUGUGUUCCUGUGUCGAGUUUCUUCGCUGGUGUUGUUUUUUCUGAACGCUUCCUUAAUGUACAAGUGGCUCAAACUCGCUCAUUUUGAGGCAGGAACUGGCGGAUGUGAAAUAACUAACUAUGAGGUAAACACAAAACAAAACUUUCCAUCUGGAGCUUCUUCAUGUGACUUCACACUUGUAAACAAUCGCUCUAUCGGCUCGCGCAGCUAUCGGUCCCACCCAGGCUCGUCAGCGCUACCAAGCUGACCAAUCACAAAGCUUAGUUGCGUAUAGUUGCGACGUGUAGUUGCAUUUUUUGAGAGGUGCACGUCAGCCACGGCCAAAGGCUAUGCGUCGACGCGUAGGCUGCACCGUAGCAUACGCAUUCGCUUGAUGCAGAAGUAAAAAUCAGCCUUAACGCUUUAGUUUAAGUAACAAUUCGCAGCAUUUACUACUUAUUACCCGUUUAUUACCACCUAAAAAGCACAAUCUUUUUUUACAUUGCUAAUCCUAUCCAAUACAGACACCCAACUACUACCCCACAACUUUGUUUUUCAGCAAAUGUAUUGAUUUUUGGAGACAAUUUAUUUAUUUUUUUAAGUCAUUUUAACAUUUAAAAAUGUAAACGUAUUAAAUUAUUAUUUUGGAUAAAGGCUUUCUUUAAAGAUUUAAUUUCGGCCUUGAUAUACUCUGUAACAAUUCUUCUUUUUGUUUGGAACACACUUUUAAAAAUAAAGUAUCUUUCACACCCAAAAAAAAAAAAAAAAAAAAAAAA
rnacentral:precursor_RNA from 1 species